CACGAUCACUCCUACGGGGAGGCAGCAGUAGGGAAUCUUCCACAAUGGGCGCAAGCCUGAUGGAGCAACACCGCGUGAGUGAAGAAGGGUUUCGGCUCGUAAAGCUCUGUUGUUAAAGAAGAACACGUAUGAGAGUAACUGUUCAUACGUUGACGGUAUUUAACCAGAAAGUCACGGCUAACUACGUGCCAGCAGCCGCGGUAAUACGUAGGUGGCAAGCGUUAUCCGGAUUUAUUGGGCGUAAAGAGAGUGCAGGCGGUUUUCUAAGUCUGAUGUGAAAGCCUUCGGCUUAACCGGAGAAGUGCAUCGGAAACUGGAUAACUUGAGUGCAGAAGAGGGUAGUGGAACUCCAUGUGUAGCGGUGGAAUGCGUAGAUAUAUGGAAGAACACCAGUGGCGAAGGCGGCUACCUGGUCUGCAACUGACGCUGAGACUCGAAAGCAUGGGUAGCGAACAGGAUUAGAUACCCUGGUAG
rnacentral:rRNA from 1 species